rnacentral:lncRNA from 1 species
UUUAUUGGAAAAAGGAAAAAAGGGACCUUUUUUUGGCUGGCUUAGCUCAUUGCACGGCCGCUUUCGGCGUCCCCCCCCCGUUUGCGUGGCCACCGCUCCGCGGAGGAGGGACCCAAGCGGGGCCAAAUCCGGCUCUUUUCCUCCCAGCAGGGAAUGGAGCCRCUUGUCCCGGGAGUCCCGAGACGCAGGUAAAACCGGCGCUCGUGUCCCCAUCCCACCGGCCACGCGCCCGCGGCCUCCGCGUCCCACCCGCCGCGGCUCCUUCCCGCGUGCCGCAGGCGUCCCCGGCUUGCGACAGCGAGGAGGAGGAGGAGGAGGAGGAGGAGGAGGAGGAAGGCUGCAGGGCGGAGGAGUGGCACUGCCGCUGCGAGGCCGAGCAAGCCAAAGCCCUGCAGCUGGAGCGGCAGCUGGCGACGAAGACGCGGGAGUGCGAGCGGCUCUUGGCCGGCAUCCGGGAGCAGGCGCGGGAGCUGGAGCGGCUGCUGCCCAGCGCCAGGAGCGCGGAGCUGAGCACGGAGCCGAGCCAGGAUGCACCGGAGGGUGAGCGUUGCCUGAGCCUCCUGGCUGAGCGUGUGCGGGAGCUGAGGAGGAGGAAGGAGGAGGAGGAAGAGCGCGGCAGGCCGCGGGAGCUCGAGGGCCCGCCGGAAAACGCGCCGGGAGCGCUCGCCGCCUCCGAGCGGGAGCUGCGGGCGCUGCUGGCACCGUUCCUCGCCUGGCUGCGGGACGCCUGCGCCGGGCUGCGGGAGGAGAAGCUCGGCGCCUUUGCCCGGAGCGCGGCGCUGAGGAAGGAGGUGGAGGAAGCCCUGCGGAGCAAGCUGCACUACGAGGUGGUGCCGGCCGACGCCGUCCGGAAGAGCCUGGCGGCCUGGGAGAAGCUGGCGCUGGGGCUGGAGCGGGCGCUGAGCCGCGCCGAUGAGAGCGGCACCGAGCUGCUGCGGAGAUCCCGGCCGCUCCUGGAGAUCCUCGGGGUGCCGCGGAGCCAGCAGGCGCCAGAGCAGCCGCUUCCCGCACCGGAGCCUUCCCAAGGGAACAGCACGAAUCCAGGCCGGAGCGGAGCAGGCGCACCGGAGAGCGAUGCCGAAGAGCGGAGCGGCGAGCUGGAGAAGGAGGUGCUGGAGCUCAAGGAGAGCAACGGGAAGCUCCUGGGCGAGCUGGCCCGGCUGGGCCGGGAGCGCGAGCGGCUGCAGGAAGAGCUGCGCGGGCUGCGGGAGCRGGAUGCCGGCGCCGAGGCACCAGGGCGGCUGAGACGGCGGCUGGCGGAGCAGCGGCGGGAGCUGACGGCGCUGCGGGACGACCUGAGCGCCCGGGCGCGGGAAGAAGCUGGAAGCCAGCGCUCCGGCGCCUGCAUCCUCCGGGAGCUGCACCGCAAGCUGGACGGGCUGGUGAGGAAGCAGCACGAGGCCUUGCAACUCGUGUCGCAGAUGGAAGGCGAAG